GGGGAAGUCCGGUGAGAGUCCGGCGCUGACCCGCAACGGUGUGCGCGGAGACCCGUGGUCCCUCGCGCGAGCCCGAUCGCCC
rnacentral:ncRNA from 1 species